CAGUAGCCGCGGGAAUACGGAAGGUCCGGGCGUUAUCCGGAUUUAUUGGGUUUAAAGGGAGCGUAGGCCGUGGAUUAAGCGUGUUGUGAAAUGCAGGUGCUCAACGUCUGCACUGCAGCGCGAACUGGUCCACUAGAGUGUGCGCAACGCAGGCGGAAUUCGUCGCGUAGCGGUGAAAUGCUUAGAUAUGACGAAGAACUCCGAUUGCGAAGGCAGCUUGCGGGAGCACAACUGACGCUGAAGCUCGAAAGUGCGGGUAUCAAACAGGAUUAGAUACCCCGGUAGUCCCUGUCUCUUAUAC
rnacentral:rRNA from 1 species